rnacentral:rRNA from 1 species
CCCCAGACUCCUACGGGAGGCAGCAGUGAGGAAUAUUGGUCAAUGGGCGCGAGCCUGAACCAGCCAAGUCGCGUGAGGGAAGACGGUCCUAUGGAUUGUAAACCUCUUUUGUCGGGGAGCAAAAAGGCCUCGUGAGGCCACAAGUGAGAGUACCCGAAGAAAAAGCAUCGGCUAACUCCGUGCCAGCAGCCGCGGUAAUACGGAGGAUGCGAGCGUUAUCCGGAUUUAUUGGGUUUAAAGGGUGCGUAGGCGGUUUGAUAAGUUAGAGGUGAAAUGUCGGGGCUCAACCCCGAAACUGCCUCUAAUACUGUUGGACUAGAGAAUAGUUGCGGUAGGCGGAAUGUAUGGUGUAGCGGUGAAAUGCUUAGAGAUCAUACAGAACACCGAUUGCGAAGGCAGCUUACCAAACUAUAUCUGACGUUGAGGCACGAAAGCGUGGGUAGCAAACAGGAUUAGAUACCCUCGUA